GGAAAAUCCUGGUUCCCUCAAUGCCAGUGCUCUGUUUGGAUGCCAGCAGGAGACUUGCAUAUGUCAGAUUUAGGAUGAUAAAUGGCCUGCUGUGCCAGCCUCAGAAAUUGCCAAGUUCAGGGAUCUUGAGCUGAGGGCAAACGAAUCCAGGCACGAAUGAGCCCUCCUGUGAUACAUGAAGUGGUGGUCCUAUGGCUAGCAGAGAUACCUGGCUGCGUGCAAGAGCCAGCAGACUACACAAGAGCACAGCCCACAGCGACUCUGUGUUUUGCACAUAUAUGUGAUCUACUGCAGUUGUCUUACUGAUCUACAUCUCUCACUGACAUCCUAUGCCAUUACAAAAGCUUCUCACUUGAAUUAUGAAGCAGAUCAGAGGCCACCAUAAAAUCAUCCCCAGAAGAAAAAGGCAACAUAAUGGAACACAAAUUAAAAUACAAAUUUAAGCACAAAGCACCAGGAGAGGUCUGGAACACAGCAUGCAUAUUACCUUAAAAAACAAAAUGUAAAAGAGUGAGUCCUAACAACCAUACAUUAGAAAUUGCAAUGUGUUCUAAUAUCUUCCAGAUGUGGAUUUCAUUAUUGCUAAAGUUAGAUGGGUUACAACCUGCACUUAAAAAGCUUUUCUUUGCCACAAACUGAGAGAGUGAAGAUUUGCUGAAGCAGAGAGAAAGGAAGGAGCUGAACCUCCUCCUGCCAAACACUCGACUAAUGUAUAUGAGUAUUUUACUGGCAACUCGGAGGAGAGGGUUUGUUCCCAUUAUAGCUGGUUUCUUUAUUUCUUACUGAGGUUGGUAGAACUUCUCACAGGAAGGAUGUAACACGGGAGGUGGCCGAUUACAAUCUCCUAUUUCUACAUGGAGCCAACUGCUGUUUACAAGCAAGUGCACCCUGGAGGCACUGAGGAAUAAAUACCUACCAAACAGCCUAUAGCCAGCUAAAUAAAU
ensembl:lncRNA